rnacentral:rRNA from 1 species
UACAGAGGGGGCAAGCGUUGUUCGGAAUUACUGGGCGUAAAGGGCGCGUAGGCGGUGUGUCAAGUCAGGCGUGAAAGCCCCGGGCUCAACCUGGGAACCGCGCUUGAGACUGGCACGCUAGAGUUCGGGAGAGGAUGGUGGAAUUCCCAGUGUAGAGGUGAAAUUCGUAGAUAUUGGGAAGAACACCGAUGGCGAAGGCAGCCAUCUGGACCGACACUGACGCUGAGGCGCGAAAGCGUGGGGAGCAAACAGG